rnacentral:rRNA from 1 species
UGGGGAAUAUUGCACAAUGGGCGCAAGCCUGAUGCAGCCAUGCCGCGUGUGUGAAGAAGGCCUUCGGGUUGUAAAGCACUUUCAGUCGGGAGGAAGGUGGUAAGGUUAAUAACCUUAUCAAUUGACGUUACCGACAGAAGAAGCACCGGCUAACUCCGUGCCAGCAGCCGCGGUAAUACGGAGGGUGCAAGCGUUAAUCGGAAUUACUGGGCGUAAAGCGCACGCAGGCGGUUGAUUGAGUCAGAUGUGAAAUCCCCGGGCUUAACCCGGGAAUUGCAUCUGAUACUGGUCAGCUAGAGUCUUGUAGAGGGGGGUAGAAUUCCAUGUGUAGCGGUGAAAUGCGUAGAGAUCUGGAGGAAUACCGGUGGCGAAGGCGGCCCCCUGGACAAAGACUGACGCUCAGGUGCGAAAGCGUGGGGAGCAAACAGG